UAGACUUUUAUAUGUCUUAAUAAAGACUAACUAAUGUUGUUUUUAAUGUUUUAGCAGCGACACUGAUUCCUCAGACUGAACACCAAGUGAGCCAAUGAGAUGAAUGAACUGAGCGGCGUCGGAUGCUGCAGGUCUGUAGUCAGCUCCGCCUCAUCUGCGCCUGCCGCUGCCACACAUCACGUCAGGAAUCUGAUGAACUGUGCCGACCUCAGAUUAACCUCCCGCGACCGCUUUCUUUUUCCGCAAUCCCACACCAUCACCGGAGGUUCCAGAAGAUCAAGCGUGAAGCGGAAGAGAGAUAGCGGAUAACAAGGCGGCGUCGCACGCCAACCGCCGGGGAUGAAGUGUCGGGGACGCGGUGGAGCGCGCGAAGGAAAACAUGUCAGCACGAGGGAGAAGGACAACUGUAAGGACACUAUUGAAGGAGCAGAAAACCCAGCACAGCCCUGCAGGAAUUGGACGAGAAAGAUUCGGGAGGCGCGGUGGCGCUCGGCAGCCGGCUGCGGAGGAGCGGGCGGGCGAGUCGGGAGAAGGAGCGGAGCGAAACAGCGGGCAUUAAAAGAGAAGAGGUGUGAAAUUGAAACCAAUAAAUCCAGAACAGACUCCUACAGUUGUGGGAGCCACAGCGACCGUAACACUUGGCCUCACCAGUGUUCUCCUUUUUAAUUUGAGCCGAGCCCGCCGUCGUCUGGAGCCGCGUCGGGCCUUGGCAAACGCUCGUGUUCGACGAGACUGGGAGCUGUGUCUUACAAUUACACAUUACCUUAAAAUUGAAAAAUAAAAAAAAGGCAGACACAAAGCUUGAAAUUGUU
rnacentral:lncRNA from 1 species